UGCCCCGUGGUGCAGUGGUAGCACAGCAGACUUUGAAUCUGUUGACUUAGGUUCGAAUCCUAACGGGGCAGCCA
rnacentral:tRNA from 3 species